rnacentral:rRNA from 1 species
AGAGUUUGAUCAUGGCUCAGAACGAACGCUGGCGGCGUGCUUAACACAUGCAAGUCGAGUGCGCGUUCCGGUAGCAAUACCGGAAUGGCGCACGGCGCACGGGUGCGUAACACGUGGGUAAUCUGCCCUCUGAUGGGGAAUAACCCGCCGAAAGGGGGCUAAUACCGCAUAACAUUCCUUGGAUUUCGGUCCGGGGACUCAAAGGCGUAAGUCGUCGGAGGAGGAGCCCGCGCACGAUUAGCUAGUUGGUAGGGUAAUGGCCUACCAAGGCUUUGAUCGUUAGCUGGUCUGAGAGGAUGGCCAGCCACACUGGAACUGAGACACGGUCCAGACUCCUACGGGAGGCAGCAGUGGGGAAUCUUGCACAAUGGGCGAAAGCCUGAUGCAGCGACGCCGCGUGGGGGAUGAAGCAUUUCGGUGUGUAAACCCCUUUCGAUCCGGACGAAUACCUCGCAAGAGGGGUGACGGUACGGAUAUAAGAAGCCCCGGCUAACUACGUGCCAGCAGCCGCAGUAAGACGUAGGGGGCCAGCGUUGUUCGGAAUUACUGGGUGUAAAGGGUUCGUAGGCGGUGUGGCAAGUUGGGAGUGAAAUCUCUGGGCUCAACCCAGAGGCUGCUUCCAAAACUGCUGUGCUUGAGUGUGAGAGAGGCUCGUGGAAUUGCAGGUGUAGCGGUGAAAUGCGUAGAUAUCUGCAGGAACACCCGUGGCGAAAGCGGCGAGCUGGAUCACUACUGACGCUGAGGAACGAAAGCUAGGGGAGCAAACAGGAUUAGAUACCCUAGUAGUCC